GUGGAGAACAAGCCUCCUGAAGCAUGGCUCUGGAGGGACCAGCGCUGGCCCUGGAAUCCAGAGGCCCUUGGACACCUCCCCCAAAAACAGGGCCUCGGGGAAGGAGCCUGGAACCUGGCACCAGAAAACCUAGAUGACAUUUCCCGCCCCAUUGCUUAUUGGUUUCCCAACCCAGUGUGACUUCAUCUCUCUGGGCUUUGGCAUCUGUCUCUGAAGAAUGGCAAUCCCACAGUCAAAGAUAAAGCAACUUGUCCAGCCAAAAUGGCCUUCUCUCGAGUCCCCAACGAGUUCCCAACUCUGCA